rnacentral:rRNA from 1 species
UACGUAGGGUGCAAGCGUUGCCCGGAUUUAUUGGGCGUAAAGGGCGCGUAGGCGGCUCUGCACGUCCGUUGUGAAAUCGCCCGGCUCAACUGGGCGGGGUCAGCGGAUACGGCAGAGCUUGAGCAAGCUAGGGGGCAAUGGAAUUCCCGGUGUAGUGGUGGAAUGCGUAGAUAUCGGGAGGAACACCAGUGGCGAAGGCGGUUGCCUGGGGCUUUGCUGACGCUGAUGCGCGAAAGCGUGGGUAGCAAACAGG